GAACGACUCUCGGCAACGGAUAUCUCGGCUCUCGCAUCGAUGAAGAACGCAGCGAAAUGCGAUACUUGGUGUGAAUUGCAGAAUCCCGUGAACCAUCGAGUCUUUGAACGCAAGUUGCGCCCGACGCCUUCUGGCCGAGGGCAUGUCUGCCUGGGCGUCACGC
rnacentral:rRNA from 1 species